AUGGUUAGGUAACGUACCCCGUGCUUCAGGAUAACGUCUAGGUGCUUGCACCUUUCCGAAAGGGGCGGUAAUACUGAAUAACAUCGUGGAUCGAUGGGUCUGCGAUCAAAGAUUUAUCGGCGUGGGAGCGGCCUAAUUCCUAUCAGCUUGUUGGUGAGGUAAUGGCUCACCAAGGCAAUGACGGGUAGCGGGACUGAGAGGUUGGCCCGCAACAUCGGGACUGAGAUACUGCCCGGACCUCCACGGAGGGCUGCAGUAACGAAUAUUGGGCAAUGGGCGAAAGCCUGACCCAGCGACGCCGCGUGCGGGAGGAAGUCCUUCGGGAUGUAAACCGCUGUCAGGGUAAAGAAAGUAUGCUUCGGCAUAUUGAUCUACCCCAGAGGAAGUCACGGCUAACUUCGUGCCAGCAGCCGCGGUAAGACGAAGGUGGCAAGCGUUGUUCGGUAUUACUGGGCUUAAAGCGUGUGUAGGCGGAAACUUAAGCGUUUUGUGAAAUCCCUCGGCUUAACCGAGGAAUUGCUUGACGAACUGGGUUUCUUGAGGCAAGUAGGGGUGCGCAGAACUCUUGGUGGAGCGGUGGAAUGCGUAGAUAUCAAGAGGAAUGCCGGUGGAGAAGUCGGCGCACUGGGCUUGUCCUGACGCUGAGACACGAAAGCGUGGGGAGCGAACGGGAUUAGAUACCCCGGUAGUCCACGCUGUAAACGAUGCCUACUAGGUUGUGGUGGUUCUGACGCCAGCACAGCCGAAGCCAAAGUGUUAAGUAGGCCGCCUGGGGAGUACGGUCGCAAGGCUAAAACUCAAAGGAAUUGACGGGGGCUCACACAAGCGGUGGAGCAUGUGGAUUAAUUCGAAGCAACGCGCAGAACCUUACCUGGGUUUGACAUGCAUGGAUGCCCAUCUGGAAACAGAGUAGGCUGCCUUCGGGUGAAACUUGCACAGGUGCUGCAUGGCUGUCGUCAGCUCGUGUCGUGAGAUGUCGGGUUAA
rnacentral:rRNA from 1 species